UGAAAAUGGCGUCCUCCUCGGUAAGAGCUCCUGUCCCUGCGGCUGGAAAAGGUGAAUUUCCCAAUGAGAAGUCUAAGCCGGAGAACCGAGGUUUGAAAAGUAGUCCUAGAUACCAUGAAGAAUAUUCAUCCCAUUUACAACAUUAAACUUCUACUGAGAGUAAACUUGAUGUGGCUGCCAUCAAGGAGAAGGUCAAGAAAGCAAAGGGAAAGAAACUUGGAGCUCUUGCAACUGAAGAAGUGAAGCUGCAGAUGGAAGCAGAUGAGAAGAAAAAGAAGAGAAAAAAGUAACUCUGAGAAGCCUUCCUGAAGUGAAACUUAUAUUUCCUUUGGUAGAGGGCUGUGAGAAAGCUGGCCAUGAGUUGCCUUAUACGUGAGCAAUAACAGUGGUCAUCUCUUUUCCCGAGUGUCUUCGGUUCGUAGAGCAGCACUCAUGCUAGAUGUAUGUAGCUCACUCAUUUUACAGACUUGGAAACUAAAGCAUAGAAACAAAGUUACUUAGUGAAAGUCCAGCUAUGGAAGCUUAUGAACAAUAUUUGUUUGCAGAAAUGUGGAAAAUAAAGGGCGUCGGUGGUUAACUUACAGAGUUAGGAGGCCAAGCAGUUCUUUUGACUAAAGCUUUAUUGCAACAUGCUUUUUCUGAAAUAAAAUAGAAAUUAAAAAUAAAA